rnacentral:rRNA from 1 species
AUUGAGCGCUGGCGGCAGGCUUAACACAUGCAAGUCGAGCGGGGUGAUGGUGCUUGCACUAUCACUUAGCGGCGGACGGGUGAGUAAUGCUUAGGAAUCUGACUAUUAGUGGGGGACAACAUCUCGAAAGGGAUGCUAGUACCGCAUACGUCCUACGGGAGAAAGCAGGGGAUCACUUGUGACCUUGCGCUAAUAGAUGAGCCUAAGUCGGAUUAGCUAGUUGGUGGGGUAAAGGCCUACCAAGGGGACGAUCUGUAGCGGGUCUGAGAGGAUGAUCCGCCACACUGGGACUGAGAAACGGCCCAGACUCCUACGGGAGGCAGCAGUGGGGAAUAUUGGACAAUGGGGGGAACCCUGAUCCAGCCAUGCCGCGUGUGUGAAGAAGGCCUUAUGGUUGUAAAGCACUUUAAGCGAGGAGGAGGCUCUUUUGGUUAAUACCCAAGAUGAGUGGACGAUACUCGCAGAAUAAGCACCGGCUAACUCUGUGCCAGCCGCCGCGGUAA